rnacentral:tRNA from 1 species
GAGGGUAUAGCUCAGUGGUAGAGUGUAUGCUUAGCAUGCAUGAGUUGCUGGGUUCAAUCCUCAGUAUCUCCA